GUCUUGGGUUUUGAGUGGACUGAAAAUCCAUGUGUCGCUGGUUCGAUUCCGGCCCGAGCCA
rnacentral:tRNA from 1 species